rnacentral:rRNA from 1 species
CCUACGGGUGGCAGCAGUGGGGAAUAUUGCACAAUGGGGGAAACGCUGAUGCAGCAACGCCGCGUGAGUGAUGACGGCCUUCGGGUUGUAAAGCCCUUUCUGCAGGGACGAUAAUGACGGUACCUGAGGAGGAAGCCACGGCUCACUACGUGCCACCAGCCGCGGUAAUACGUAGGUGGCGGGCGUUGUCCGGAUUUAAUGGGCGUAAAGGGGGCGUAGGCGGAAGUUUAAGUGAGAUGUGAAAUACUCGGGCUCAACUUGAGUGCUGCAUUUCAAACUGGAAGUCUAGAGUGCAGGAGAGGAGAAUGGAAUUCCUAGUGUAGCGGUGAAAUGCGUAGAGAUUAGGAAGAACACCAGUGGCGAAGGCGAUUCUCUGGACUGUAACUGACGCUGAGGCUCGAAAGCGUGGGGAGCGAACAGGAUUAGAUACCCGAGUAGUC